CCCGAUCUCUGAAAGCAACUUUGCUCAAUUGAAGCCUGACUAGGAAUUUAUACUUUUGAAAACUCAUUGACUUCUGGAUUUUUAAAAAAGUAACAUAAACAUUUAAGAAGCUACCAAAAUAUGCGAAGCCUGAAUAGGGAGGUAUCAGAACCAUAACAUAUGGAAUGAAACCUACCACUACCACCUGCCUGGCACGAAGAAAUAAUUUACCGUUCACGGGGAAUUUCCUGUGUUUCAUUUUGUCUGAAGAACUGUAACCCGACUUGAAUGAACUAAGUGUCUAAUUGUUGCAUUAUUUUUCUUGUAGAGAUUUUAGUGUUUUAUUACUUUCUCCAGUUUACCUCAAUAGUGAAUUAAGUUCUCUCUACCAUCUGAAAUGUUACAGUUCGAUAAAAUAGGUAAAUUAAUAAAGUCUAAAGUGCUUCCAAGCUGGGCAGAGA
rnacentral:lncRNA from 1 species